AUUUUAUUUUUAAAUGAUGCUACUUUUUGUUAGUAUCUUUUUUUUCUCUUUCGUUUUUUAAAUUAUGUCGGCUUUGAAUUUCUCCUUGAUGAAAUGUCAAUCAACAUGAACAUCUUAGGUCAUGUUGUGCUAAGACAUGAGAGAUCAUGAGAGAGUUUAGGGUAACCAUAAUUUCUCCUUCAUACGGGAACCAUAAUUUGGUAAUCAGAUAUUCUCAUUUUGAUUGGGCUCAAAUAACGGGCUUAACCCACGGGUUGGCCCAAAUUGAUAUAAGAUUCUUCUUCAACUGAACAUUAAUUCAUCGUCGACUCUCUCGUCUGCAGCUCCCAUGGCUUCCACUUCCCGCAACACUAGCCUGCUAUAGAAAGUGCUGCAACUCUCUCUCUCUCUCUCUCUAUCUCUCUGUGAGAUUUCCACUCUGUCUUUACUGUCUUUCCUGGAGAAUCCAUUGAAGAGUUCCGAUAACACUAAGCUAGCGUUCACACCAAAUAAGCCACUGAGCAAGAGAUUAGAAUCUAGGAAGUUGAAUUGGACGCUUCCAUUCAGGCCCUGGAGGUUUCAGGCUGCUCAGGAGUGCAUGCACCUUGGACUACAAAAUAGAGAUAUGUGCCUUGGACUAUGAAAGUUGCAUAGUCCAAAACUUAAAACCAAUGCCAAAAUUUCAUGUGUGCUUAUUCUGUCCGUCCACUCCUAAGAAAACUCAAACCUAUUACCUCUGCCCCAUUUCACUUCUGUCCCAGGAGCUACCAUUCCCUCCCUUUUAACUACUUUUUUAACUCUUGCUCUUCUUUUUCAGACCUUAAAUGCAUCCAUGCUCUAAUCUUCCAACAUGGAUCCAACCAAAACCUUCUCCUCUCCACAAAGCUUGUUACUUUGGCAUCUUCCAUGGCCCCUACCAUGGACUAUGCACGAAAACUGUUCGACACAAUGCCCAAAAGGGAUGCGUUUCUUUGGAACACUUUGAUCAGGGGUUAUGCUGAUCGGGGUCCUUGCCAUGAAGCCAUAGUUUUGUACAGAAACAUGCAUCACAGUGGGUUGUCCCCUGAUAACUAUACUUUCCCUUUUGUGGUUCGCUCCUGCACAGUGCAGUUGGCUUUGAGGGAAGGGAAAGAGUGCAUUGUAACAUUAUUAAAUAUGGGUUUCAUUCAGAUGUGUUUGUUCAGAGCUCUUUGGUCAGUAUGUAUUCACAAAGUGGUGAAACUUUGAACUCGGAGUUUGUUUUCAGUGACAUGAUUGUGUAGUUUCUUGGACUGCAAUGAUAGCAGGCUAUGUGCAAAAUGGGUUCUAUAAAGAAGGGUUACCUGUUUUGCGAGAUAUGGUGGCUUCAGGGACCCAACCAAAUGUGGUUACGCUGGUCAGCAUCCUCCCUGCUUGUGCUAGUUUAACAUUUUUGGAUUUAGGAAAACUAAUCCAUGGUUGCGGAAUUAAAGUUGGUGUUGACUCAGAUAUGGCACUCAUGAAUGCUUUGAUUGCAUUUUAUGGUAAGUGUGGGAAUCUUGACACGGCAAGAUCUUUAUUCAAAGGGAUGGUAGUAAGAAACCUGGUCUUGUGGAAUGCAAUGAUCGGCGCUUAUGAACAGAACAAUGCAGGGACUGAUGCAAUAAAGCUCUUUUGUAGGAUGCAAACUGAAAAUGUAGAGUAUGACUAUAUCACAAUAGUCAGUGUUAUUUCAGCCUGUGCUAGCUUGGGUGCACUGAACACUGGUAGAUGGUUGCAUGAGCUGGCUCGAAUGAAGGGCUUUCGAACCAAUGCUUCAGUCACAAAUGCACUCAUUGACAUGUAUGCUAAGUGCGGGAAUAUAGACCUAGCCAAGAAUGUAUUUCAGGGAUUGCCUCAUAAAAGUGUUGUGUCAUGGACAUCUAUAAUAGGGGCUUGUGCAUCUCAUGGUCAUGGGGAUGAUGCUCUCAUGCUUUUCUCAAUGAUGAAAGAACAGGGUACUAAACCAAAUAGUUUCACUUUCACUGCUGUUUUGACUGCUUGUAGGCAUGCAGAUCUAGUAGAAGAAGGGAGAAAGCACUUUGAGAGCAUGAUUAAAGACUACUCGAUCUCCCCUGGCAUAGAGCACUAUGCUUGUAUGGUUGAUCUUCUUGGUCGUGCUGGUUGCUUGCUUGAGGCAUAUAAGUUUAUUGAGACGAUGCCGGUUGAGCCAGAUGCAGGUGUGUGGGGAGCUUUACUAAGUGCUUGCAGGAUACAUGGCAAUGUUGAGCUAGCCGAACUUGUGGUAGCCCGCCUAUCCCGUUUAGAUACUCAAACUGUUACAUCCUAUGUUCUUAUGUCAAAUAUAUACGCUGAAGCUAGUAGGUGGGAAGACGAAGCUAGGUUGAGGAACAUGAUGAGAAAAAAGUUGUUGAAAAAGUUACCUGGGCAAAGUUUUGUUGGGGUAAAUUGAAGAUUUUAUGCUUUUCUUUCAGGUUCAAGAUCUCCGGCAUCUUGUCUGACUUAAAUUAAUUGGAUUUUUUUCAUCACUAAAGAUCCCCGUCAUAUUUUUUAUGAAACAAAAUAAAAUUACAAAGAU